CUGAAUCGGCUUGUGUGUUAGUGGAAGCGUCUGGAAAGUCGCGCAGUAAAGGGUGAUAGCCCCGUACACUAAAAUGCACAGGUCGUGAGUUCGAUGAGUAGGGCGGGACACGUGACAUCCUGUCUGAAUAUGGGGGGACCAUCCUCCAAGGCUAAAUACUCCUGACUGACCGAUAGUGAACCAGUACCGUGAGGGAAAGGCGAAAAGAACCCCGGCGAGGGGAGUGAAAUAGAACCUGAAACCGUGUACGUACAAGCAGUGGGAGCACCUUCGUGGUGUGACUGCGUACCUUUUGUAUAAUGGGUCAGCGACUUAUAUUUUGUAGCAAGGUUAACCGUAUAGGGGAGCCGUAGGGAAACCGAGUCUUAACUGGGCGAUUAGUUGCAAGGUAUAGACCCGAAACCCGGUGAUCUAGCCAUGGGCAGGUUGAAGGUUGGGUAACACUAACUGGAGGACCGAACCGACUAAUGUUGAAAAAUUAGCGGAUGACUUGUGGCUGGGGGUGAAAGGCCAAUCAAACCGGGAGAUAGCUGGUUCUCCCCGAAAGCUAUUUAGGUAGCGCCUCGUGAACUCAUCUUCGGGGGUAGAGCACUGUUUCGGCUAGGGGGCCAUCCCGGCUUACCAAACCGAUGCAAACUCCGAAUACCGAAGAAUGUUAUCACGGGAGACACACGGCGGGUGCUAACGUCCGUCGUGAAGAGGGAAACAACCCAGACCGCCAGCUAAGGUCCCAAAGUCAUGGUUAAGUGGGAAACGAUGUGGGAAGGCAUAGACAGCCAGGAUGUUGGCUUAGAAGCAGCCAUCAUUUAAAGAAAGCGUAAUAGCUCACUGGUCGAGUCGGCCUGCGCGGAAGAUGUAACGGGGCUAAACCAUGCACCGAAGCUGCGGCAGCGACGCUUAGGCGUUGUUGGGUAGGGGAGCGUUCUGUAAGCCGUUGAAGGUGGCCUGUGAGGGUUGCUGGAGGUAUCAGAAGUGCGAAUGCUGACAUAAGUAACGAUAAAGCGGGUGAAAAGCCCGCUCGCCGGAAGACCAAGGGUUCCUGUCCAACGUUAAUCGGGGCAGGGUGAGUCGACCCCUAAGGCGAGGCUGAAAAGCGUAGUCGAUGGGAAACAGGUUAAUAUUCCUGUACUUGGUGUUACUGCGAAGGGGGGACGGAGAAGGCUAGGCUGGCCGGGCGACGGUUGUCCCGGUUUAAGCGUGUAGGGGGUGUGACCUGGUAAAUCCGGUUGCAUACUAACCCUGAGGCGUGAUGACGAUGCACUACGGUGCAGAAGUAGUUGAUGCCCUGCUUCCAGGAAAAUCCUCUAAGCUCCAGGUAACAUUAAAUCGUACCCCAAACCGACACAGGUGGUCAGGUAGAGAAUACCAAGGCGCUUGAGAGAACUCGGGUGAAGGAACUAGGCAAAAUGGUGCCGUAACUUCGGGAGAAGGCACGCUGGCAUGUAGGUGAAGUCCCUUGCGGAUGGAGCUGAAGCCAGUCGAAGAUACCAGCUGGCUGCAACUGUUUAAUAAAAACACAGCACUGUGCAAACACGAAAGUGGACGUAUACGGUGUGACGCCUGCCCGGUGCUGGAAGGUUAAUUGAUGGGGUCAGCCGCAAGGCGAAGCUCUUGAUCGAAGCCCCAGUAAACGGCGGCCGUAACUAUAACGGUCCUAAGGUAGCGAAAUUCCUUGUCGGGUAAGUUCCGACCUGCACGAAUGGCGUAAUGAUGGCCAGGCUGUCUCCACCCGAGACUCAGUGAAAUUGAACUCGCUGUGAAGAUGCAGUGUACCCGCGGCAAGACGGAAAGACCCCGUGAACCUUUACUAUAGCUUGACACUGAACAUUGAGCCUUGAUGUGUAGGAUAGGUGGGAGGCUUUGAAGCGUGGACGCCAGUCUGCGUGGAGCCAUCCUUGAAAUACCACCCUUUAAUGUUU
rnacentral:rRNA from 1 species